GGUUUCUUAUAGAUGGCUUUUAUUACAUUGAGGUGGAGCCAGAGCAUGUGAUGGGAGCACCGGGCCUGAGCUGCAGCAUAAGUUUCCUCUGAUUUUCAACCUGGAAGACGAUAUCGCAGAAGCCGUGCCUCUAGAAAGAGGUGGUGCGGAGUACCAGGCCAUGCUGCCCCAGGUCAGAAAGGUUCUUGCAGACGUCCUCCAAGACAUUGCCAAUGACAACAUCUCCAGCGCAGAUUACACUCAGGACCCUUCAGUAACUCCCUGCUGUAAUCCCUACCAAAUUGCCUGCCGCUGUCAAGCUGCAUAACAGACCAAUUUUUAUUCCACAAGGAGGAAUAUUUGGGAAUUAGACAGAUGAUUACCACAUGCUGAGGGCGCCUGACACAGAGCCCGGUGCAGAGCACUUGCCCACUAGAGGUUUGCCACUGAGACUGCCAGUGAAGAACAAAUCAACGCAAGGGCACUGAAGCUUGUCGUUGUUCUU
rnacentral:sRNA from 1 species